GCAUCCUUAGCUCAGCCGGAUAGAGCAACAACCUUCUAAGUUGAAGGUCACAGGUUCAAGUCCUGUAGGAUGCG
rnacentral:tRNA from 1 species